UACUCGAGUGGCGAACGGGUGAGUAACGCGUGGGUGAUCUGCCCUGCACUUCGGGAUAAGCUUGGGAAACUGGGUCUAAUACCGGAUAGGAACCAUCUUUAGUGUGGUGGUUGGAAAGUUUUUUCGGUGUAGGAUGAGCUCGCGGCCUAUCAGCUUGUUGGUGGGGUAAUGGCCUACCAAGGCGGCGACGGGUAGCCGGCCUGAGAGGGUGUACGGCCACAUUGGGACUGAGAUACGGCCCAG
rnacentral:rRNA from 1 species